rnacentral:rRNA from 1 species
UAACGCGUGGGCAACCUGACCCCAUAGAGGGGGGACAACAGCUGGAAACGGCUGCUAAUACCGCAUAACAAGGAGAGAGCGCAUGUUCUUUUCUUCAAAGAUUUAUCGCUAUGGGAUGGACCCGCGUCUGAUUAGCUAGUUGGUGAGGUAACGGCUCACCAAGGCGACGAUCAGUAGCCGGCUUGAGAGAGUGAACGGCCACAUUGGGACUGAGACACGGCCCAGACUCCUACGGAAGGCAGCAG